CUGCAGGAGUUCUUCAAAUACAUCUUCCAGAGUGAUAAUCCCAAUGACUUCACCCUCCUCGAUAUCCUCUGAUACCUGGAGCAAACCAUUUGUUGCUUUCUCACUAUGGGGUGAAAAAGUUUCCUUGUGUCUAUGAAGGGGCCUUGGUAUCCUGGGUAUAACAACAACAACACUGUCCGGCUUUCCAUCUUGCUUGGAUAGCAAGGGAGUAGUCAGUUGGGAGUCCGUGCCAGUGUCUCCGUUCCAUUCAUCUCUCCUUCCAUCAAUGGUUGGUUGAGGAUUUUUUAUCAAGAUAUGGAUGGGAAAAUAAGACACAGGAAUGGAGAUAUCAGCGCUCUUAACUUGUUUUUUUUUUUUUUUUUUUUAGAAUGUAAGUUACAAAAUUACCCUUUAUAGUGGUAAAUUCUUUCACACACAUCUAUCUCCUCCAUCCUUUAUCGUUGCUACCUUCUCUCUUUUUCUCUACAAUUCCCUCACGCGCCAUCGCCUCGCAUUCAAACCCUUUGUCUCCUCUUCCAAACCCUCACUCCUGGCGAUGAAGGACCGGCCUCCUUCCUCGUACGACUCCGUCUACAUCCCUCCCGACCAUUGCCUCUGCUCCAUCAUCACCACCCCUAAUUAUACCUCCCAUGUUUCAAUCUGCUCCAAGCUCCAGGAAAAACCAGACUGCUGCUGUUGUUGCUGCUCUCAACCGGAGGAGCAGCACCAAUGGUGCUCUGGUGUAGUACCAAAAUUAGCAGCAGCAGGAGUAUAAACCCAAGCUAUAGCAGACUUCUAUUUACGACAACAACGUUUCCGAUAAAGGCUUUGAUCGCAAAGUUGAGUUGUCACCGCAUCCGGUGAUGUUUCUAUACGUGGAUUGUGUACUCGUAGAGUUGUUAAUUGGGAAGUAUGCGUGUUUACUAAGUGUGAAUUGGUGAUUGAGUUUUGUUGAUGCACAAAAUCAGUGAGGACUUUGGUACAACAGAAAGUGUUAAGUUUGUAACCUUCGCUAGAUUGCUCCGGUCACUAGCGUGGAUAAGUAUGUAAAUGGAUAGGGACAGGGAAGCAAACACAAGAUGUACAUGGUUCACCCAGAUUGGCUACGUCCACGGAGUAAAGGAGUUCUCAUUAAUUAUGAAGGGUUUACACAAGUACAUAGGUUCAAGCUCUCCUUUAGUAAGUACCAGUGAAUGAUUUAGUACAAAUGACAUUAGGAAAUAUUGUGAGAGAAUGAUCUCUAUUUAUAGAAGAGAGUUUCUAGUUUCAUUCUGACAUUGACACGUGUCAUGUUGUGAUUGGCUUCUGAUGUUGACACGUGUCGCGCUAUGAUUGGCUUCUGAUGUCGACACGUGUCGCGCUGUGAUUGGCCUCCUGGUUGUAGGGAAACUCUUCUGGGUCCUUGACGGUAUAACGUUGACCGGUGCUCAAUAGUUUCUAGAUUGGUCAAGUAUGGUAUAAACAGUGCUCCCCUAAGUUCCCGAGUGAGGGAAGCUCCUUAGUUGGGGACUUGUAAGAUCUAAGCCAUUGAGUAAUCACGAAACUUCUGUUGGAAAUGUGCCCUAAAGCCAAUCAUAUGAUGAUACUUUACGGACAUUUCACAUGUUAAACUAAUCUAGUUUAAUAUAAAGGGCAAAGAUUAUUGUUUGAGCCGUCUCAUAUAAAUGUUAUAUGCUUAAACGAUAAAGUCCAAGGAAUAUGUGAUUGGGAGAAUGUAAUCUAAUGAAGUUAGAUUCAUGAGACCAUUCUUUCGUAGACACAUCCUAAAUGUUCCUGAUCAUAGGAUUGCCAAUUGGGCAUUGACAGUCCAUCAAGAUCGGUACGUGCUAUGUCUUCUCUCAGGGAGAGUGACUAGUCUCGAGUCAUUGGUGUGUGUGACAUCAAGACAAGUACGUAGGUGCUCAAUAGAGAAUGAGUUCACUGAACGUGAUCGACGAAGAGUUCUCAUACUCAUGUCACAUGAGAACUCAUGGUUGGGAUAAUGCAAAGUAGUCCUUUGACCUGAGGCAUCAUAGUUGUCUUGUGGUUAAGUCCUUGAUCUUUGAUUAUGUCAAAGUCACUCCAUCAGGAGGGUGUCCACGGCAUCGUUGGGGUUAAGCCACUUAGCCAUGGAGGCAAGUGAAUGCGCAACAAGGGAUCUCUAACCUUCAAACUGUUUGAGGGAGAAUACUCUAUGAUAUGAUUUAGAAUCUCUGGCCAGAGUAUGAAUGAGAUUUAGAAAAGUCGUUCUAAAUCACAUUCAAGGAAAUCAUAUAAGCACACGAAUCACAUUGGAUAGUAGACAUGAACAUAUAAACUAUCAAACCAAACAAUGUGGUCAAGAGUAUUGUAGAUUAGAGAAAGACCGUAUUGCAUUUGUAAUCCCAAACUGAAUAGGUUUCUCUGACCUCUUUCUGAUUAGCUUGGGUAACCAUGAUAUGCUGCUAGGUGUCACUCAUGGUUUGUGGAAGCCCUAAACGUGUGUAAUCACUAAAGGGAGAAUUGAAAGUAAGUUUCAAAUUCACAAUCGAUGUAAAAAUGGUUUUAAUCGCCCACUGCCUCGCUAAAAGGAACCUAAUGGAUCGCACACCAUAAGAGGUGGAGAUUGGAGAUUAAUCGGAGAUGAGUAAGAAUGAUUAAAUGGUUUAAUCAUUUAUUUAUGGCAAGGAUUAAUUAAUAUGUUAAUUAAUCAAACGAAUAAGUUCGUUAAAGACCUCGGGGAUAGUUUUGGACCUUAAGGCCCAAUGGGCUUCGAACGUCAAGUCCAUUGACUUAAGUUGUAUGACAACUUAAUGAAUAAUGAUUCACAAAGGCCUAAUUAGCCCAAAAUACCCUAGGGCCGGCCAUGAUGCUAAGGGUAGUGAACUUGGACUUAUUUACAAGUUUGCCACUCAAAUGAAUAAAGGUAUAAAUAUGACUUUAUAGCCUAAAAUUCAUCAGGGUUUUGUUUUGGGGAAAAUUGGAGAGAACAUGUCUCUCCAUUUCUCUCUAAAGAGGCCGGCCACCUUGGGGGGUACAUCUAGCAAUCCUACUACUCCAAGGUCACUCAUAUCUUCUCCAAUCUCUCCUUGGUGAAGAGACUUAGAGGUUCCCUAUUUUGGGAACUUGGAGAAACCUAUUCUUCCAUCCAAAUCCAUAGAUUUAAGAUGCAAGGAAUGAAGGCCCUCUCUUUGGGUGAUUAGCCUUUGCUUAUGCAAAGAGGAAUCUUCAAAGGUAUAAAUUUCCACUCACUUUGUUUUGAGUUGAUUAAUGGUUCACCAAUCUACUAGGCUUUGAAUUUCUUGGUUAAUGUUUUGUUUUUAAGUGCAUGCUAGCAUGAUUCCGCCUUUAAUUGUUAAUUGCAUGCUAUAUGAUGUUGCUUAAAUGAACAUGUUUUCACAAAAACAUCCUUCAACUUCUAAGUACCGAAGUGUGGUAUCAUUUUCACUUGCCUUAUCUGUCUCAUACCAGGGGUUCCAGGCAGUCAGUUCCUGACUGGAAGCUUGAUUCCAAAUGUUGACUGAUUGCUCUCUUUCUCCUUGUUUUGCAGGUAAGAAUAAGGGCAAAGGAAAAGACAGGGAAAAAGCAUGAUAUGGGAUACUCUUGCUUUUGACCCUGAUGAUAUGAGAUACUCUUUCUCUGGUGUGGUUGGUUUGCAUAGGUAUUAUUGGGGGGAAGAAAACUGAGUAUUUCGAGAGGCUUCGUUGGGAGUGCCUUAUCAGAUAUGAGGAAGGGUUGAGCAUUUUUGCAGGUCUGCCUGUCCGUGGAGGAUGAAGGUCAACAUAUAUAGGAGUCUCCCUAACAACAAAUAGUAAUGCUAUUCCUUUACCCUUCUUGGUCGAAAGCUUCACGUGUUUUAACUUUGUCAGAGCACUUUGAAAAAGUGGUAUGUGGUAUAUGGAAAGUUGAUGUUGCGUGUGAAGAUUGCAGACAAGCUUUAUCCAAGAAAAUCUGGCUCUCGAAGUUCGGAGAGCGAUGCCUCUUCGGUUUUCGAACAAGCAAUCCUGUCGGGGAUCUGGCUCUCGAGAUUUAGAGAGCGGUGCCUCUUCAAUUUUUGAGAAAGCAAUCCUGUUGGGAGUCUGGCUCUUGAGAUUCGGAGAGCGGUGCCUCUUCAAUUUUUGAGAAAGAAAUCCUGUUGGGAGUCUGGCUCUCGAGAUUCGGAGGGCGGUGCCUCUUUGAUUUUUGAGCGAGUAAUAAUGUUAUUCCUUUACCUUUCUUGGUCAUAGCAAUGUAGUAGGAGCUGUAAGCUUCACAUGUUUUAACUUUGUCAGAGCGCUUUGAAAAAGUGGUAUGUGGUAUCUGGAAAGCUGAUGUUACGUGUGAAGAUUACAGACAAGCUUUAUCCAAGUAAAUCUGUCUCUCGAGAAAGUAAUCCUGUUGGAAGUCUGGCUCUCGAGAAAGUAAUCCUGUUGGGAGUCUAGCUCUCGAGAUUUUGAAAGUGGUUCCUCUUUGAUUUUUUAGCAAGCAAUCUUGUUGGGAGUGUUUUCUUGAAUGUGAGUAAAGGUUGGACAUUUUUGCUAGUCUGCCUUGCCACGGAGCACGGAGGUUGACACACAUUGGUACUUUCUAGUUAUCAAGCAGUGGUGUUGUUCCUUUACCCUUGUGGGUAAUAGUAGGGUAGCUGGACCUUCAAAAUUUAUGUGUCUAAACUUUGUCAGAGAUCUUUGGCAAAUUUAUCUAUGGUACUCGAUGAGCUGAUGUUGCGUGUGGAAAGUGGUGCCUCUUCGAAAUCCGAAGAGUGGUGCCUCUUCGAUUUUUGAACCAACGGCCCUGUUGCCCUUUCUUUUAUAAGGGCACCAAUUGUGUGCAAGGAGUACAUUCAGAGAGUAAUUGCUUGUAGGAAUUUUCCCCUUACUUCAGAGAUUUAUUGCACCUCAUUUCUCCUUCAUCAUUUCUGAGAAUGUCUGGCCCAUCCGACAGUCGUUUUGACUUGAACUUUGGUGAAGAGGCAGCCAUGCCUUCUCAAGACAACAUAUGGCGCCCAUCCUUCUUAUCCCAUACUGGUUCUCUUACCGUUGGGGACUCUGUGAUGAAAAAUGAUAUGAUCGCUGCGGUGGUGGCCAGGAACCUUUUCACUCUCAAAGAUAACAGACUACUUUCCAAACGGUCUGUUGAGUUGGCUGUUAAGGAUUCUCUAGCUCUCAGUGUUCAGUAUGCAGGUUCUGUGUCUAAUAUGGCCCAACGCUUAUUUGCUCGAACCCGCCAAGUUGAAUCAUUGGCGACUGAAGUGAUAAGUCUCAAACAGUUGCACAGGCUCGCACAUGACUAUGCUACAAACAUGAAGAGGUAGCUCGACCAACUGCAGGAAUCUGAUGGUCAGAUUUUACUUGAUCAUCAGAGGUUUGUGGGUUUGUUCCAAAGGCAUUUAUUGCCCUCGUCUUCUAGGGUUGUACUGCGUAAUGAAGCUCCAAAUGAUCAACCUUCGGUGCCUCUUCCUUAUGGGGUUCUGCCUAGUACUGAGACUCCGAAUAAUCACUCUCUGGUGCCUCCUCUUUCUGGGGCUCUUUCAACUGCUAAGACUUCUCCUGAGCAACCUUUGUGAAGGCUCCUUCUUGUUUGUUUAUUUUGAUUCAUGUAUAUGUACAUAUUUGUAACUUAUCAGAGAUAUCAAUAAACAAGCUUUGCUUCAUUUCAAGGUAUUGUGUUAAAUACACCAAGGCCUUCUUCACUAAGUUCUUUGAAUUUUUCCUUUUAUUGAAGCUUGUAUGUUGAAACUUUGUGAGUGAAACAUGUAGAUUGAGGUAGUGCUCUCUUAAUUUCCCGAGUGAGAAAAACUUCUCGUUUGGAGACUUGAAAAAUCCAAGUCACUAAGUGGUCGUGAGACUUCCGAGUAUCAAGAUGCAGUAACAUAUGGUAGGAGUCCUCCAAGUCUCCGAUCGAGGGAGUUGACGAAUAAGGCAUUUCCUUUCUAAGUGGUAGCCCAAAACUCCUUCUUCAUAUAUAUUUAUUAUGAAAGUUGUUAGGCCUAAAGAAGAGGAGGCCUAUGCAAUUUUUGUUUUUUCGAAAUUUUUUUUUCGAUUUUUUUUUUCGAAUUUUCAAAUUUUUGAAUUUUUGAAUUUUUGAAUUUCCGAAUAAAUAAAUAAAUAUAUAUAUAUAUAUAUAUAUAUAUAUAUUUUUUUUUUUUUUAAAGCUUUGUAGGUGAAACUUUGGUGUUGAAGCUUUGUAGGUGAAGCUUUAAGGUCGAAGCUUUGUUGGGCACCAUGAAUUGAUUUUGCUUCACACUAUCUUGAUCAAGAUAGUGUGAAGCUUUUGUAGGUGAAGCUUUUGUAUUGAAGCUUUGUAGGUGAAGCUUUUGUAGGUGAAGCUUUUGUGGGUCAAGCUUUUGUAGGUGAAGCUUUGGUGGGUCAAGCUUUUGUAGGUGAAGCUUUUGUGGGUGAAGCUUUUAUGGGUGAAGCUUUUAUGGGUGAAGCUUUUGUAGGUGAAGCUUUUGUGGGUCAAGCUUUUGUAGGUGAAGCUUUUGUGGGUGAAGCUUUUAUGGGUGAAGCUUUUGUAGGUGAAGCUUUUGUGGGUCAAGCUUUUGUAGGUCAAGCUUUUGUGGGUGAAGCUUUUGUGUUAAAGCAUUUAUGGGUGAAGCUUUGGAGUUGAAGCUUUGUAGGUGAAGCUUUGGAGUUGAAGCUUUUGUUGGGUACCAUGAAUUGAUUUUGCUUCACACUAUCUUGAUCAAGAUAGUGUGAAGCUUUUCAGAAUUUGUAGUUGUCCUCCAUUAAUGAAGCUUUGUUGAAUUUCCUUUUUUUUUUUUUUUUUGGGAAACUAGAAAUUUGAAAAUGUGGGAGAGACAACAUAUACAAAUUUUGCUUCCACACCGUUGAGCAAGAGAUUGUGAUGCAAGCCACACCUUGUAGUAGUCGAAGGUUUGGAUGAACCAUAUAAAUUGAAUUUGCUUCGAAGGUUUGAAAAUUGUAGUUGCCCUCCAUUGAUGAAGGUUUUGUUGGCACCAUAAAUUGGUUUUGCUUCACACUGUCUUGAUCAAGAGUGUGUGAAGCUUUUGAGAAUUGUGGUUGAACUCUUUUGAUGAAGCUUUUGUUGGUACCAUAAAUUGGUUUUGCUUCACACUAUCUUGAUCAAGAGUGUUUGUAGCUUUUGAGGAUUGUGGUUGAACUCCUUUGAUGAAGCUCUUGUUGGCACCAUAAAUUGGUUUUGCUUCACAUUGUCUUGAUUAAGAGUGUGUGCAGCUUUUGAGAAUUGUGGUUGCCCUUCAUUGAUGAAGCUCUUGUUGUUGGCACCAUAAAUUGGUUUUGCUUCACACUGUCUUGAUCAAGAAUGUGUGAAGCUUUUGAGAAUUGUGGUUGCCCUCUAUUGAUGAAGCUUUUGUUGGCACCAUAAAUUGGUUUUGCUUCACACUGUCUUGAUCAAGAGUGUGUGAAGCUUUCUACGAGUUGUAGUGUUUGCAUUGUUAUAGAGGGGAAAUGUCUGAAGCAGAUGCAAAAGGGCUGAAUAGCUUGAUCUUCGUAUGCCAUGCACUGAAGUUGUUGUUGGCUUGCAAUAAGACUUUGUUGGUGACUAUAACUCUUGUUGGGCAUAAGUGCUCCCCUAGUUGAGUUGUCAAGCUUGAGGGUUUUUGAUUAUUUGUGAAUGCUAGGAGUUCACAUGUAUAAGUUGUACCACUCGUCUUCUGGUAACUGGAAUGAAUGGUGAGUUGCUUUCAUCACUUGGUUAGUGGUAUGAAGAUGAGUUCUUUCUUUACUUAGUUGGUGGCAUGAGUGGCAAGUUGCUAAAUGAUAUUAGAGUACGGGUUGUACAUUUCAUUACCUGGUUGGUGGCAUGAAUGAGACUACGGGUUGUACAUUUUAUCACCUGGUUGGUGGCACGAAGAUGAGUUCCUUUUUCACCUGGUUGGUGGCAUGAGUGGCAAGUUGCCAAAUGAGUUCCUUCUUCACCUGGUUGGUGGCAUGAAGGAGAGUACAGGUUGUACAUUUCAUCACUUGGUUGGUGGCAUGAAGAUGAGUUCCUUCUUCACCUGGUUGGUGGCAUGAGUGGCAAGUUGCCAAAUGAUACGGGUUGUACAUUUCAUCAUUUGGUUGGUGGCAUGAAGAUGAGUUCCUUUUUCACCUAGUUGGUGGCAUGAGUGGCAAGCUGCCAACUGAUAUUAGAGUACGGGUUGUACAUUUCAUCACCUGGUUAGUGGCAUGAAGAAGAGUACGGGUUAUACAUUUCAUCACCUGAUUGGUAAGAAUAAAGGCAAGGUGUCGAGGCACAUUGUAGCAAGUGUCGAAGACACAAAGUAUGUUGAACCCUUUCGAAGCACAAUUGGCUUAUAUAUGAAUGUGUUGGAAUGUAUGAUUAAACGAAUAUACUGUGAAGUUGUUCGUUUAUUUGUAUAGUCUUGUUGACUUAUACUUAGACUUUGUUUCAUGUUGGAAGCAUUCAUGUUGAAGCUUUGAACCCGAGUGUUUCAUUGCUAGGAAUGUAAGAGGAUUAGGAUCGAGUUGUCUAAAUCACCUCUUUAUUGAAUUCAUGCCAAAUAGUCUUCGUUACAUAGAAUGCCGAACGGCUGAAGCUUAACACUUGUACAAUGUGAGUUUACUUGUAAUAGUACUUCAGGUGAUCAUCGUUCCAUGGAUGGCCAAGGGUUUUGCCAUCGGAGCUUCUAAGCUUGUAGGAGCCAGGGCGACUGAUGCCAACAACUUCAAAUGGUCCAUCCCAGUUUGGACUAAGUGUUCAUUCACUCGGAACUCUGUCGCAGAGUAAUCUUUUCUUUAAUACCCAGUCCCUUACUUUGGAAAAACGAGGUUUGACCCUUGAGUCAUAGUAGUUGGAGAUGCGCUACUGGUAGGCGACAUUCCUUAAGUGAGCCUGGUUUCUGUGUUCCUCGACUAGAUCUAAGUUGAUGGUAAGUUGUUUGUCAUUUUCUUUACACGUAGUUCUGGACUCGGAACGUUGCUUGCUCAAGCUCAACUGGGACAACUGCCUCUGUACCAAAAGCAAGUGAGAAUGGGGUUUCUUCUGUUGAUGUCCGAUUCGAAGUGCGAUAUGACCAAGGAACUUGGGGUACAAAUUCUGGCCAACAACCUUUAGCCUUGUCCAAGCUGGUUUUCAAGGUUUGGUUGAUUAUUUUGUUGAUGGCUUCAACUUGUCCAUUAGACUGAGGAUGAGCUGGGGAGACAAAACAUAAGUUGAUGUUGAACUUAGAGCAAAACAUCCUGAACUUAUUGUUAUCGAACUGUCGCCUGUUGUCAGUGACUAUUGCAUUGGGAAUGCCAAAUCUGCAAAGAAUGUUCUUCCAUACGAAGUCUUCUAUUUUGCCUCAGUAAUGAUUGCCAAGGGUUCUACUUCGUUGCAGGCAUUGGGCUGAUCAAAUCAAGUCCCCAUUGGGCGAAGGGCCAAGGGUUGAUCAUAGGAGUGAGCAGCUCGGGAAAAUAGUGAGGAAUAGUUACGUAGCGUUGACACUUAUCACAUGAGCGGGAUAUUCUGAUGGCAUCUUGGUGAAGUGUUGGCCAGUAAUAUCCUUGGCGAAAAGCCUUGUGUGUUAGGGAUCGAGAUCCAGCAUGAUCUCCUCAGACUCCUUCAUGUAUUUCCAGAAUGACAAUUUCCGCCUCUGCAGGCGUAAGGCAUCUUAGGUAUGGUAGGUUAAAACGCCGCUUGUAGAGUUGGUCAUUAAUGAUCAAGUAACGGGUAGCCUUGUAUCAAAUCUGCUUAGCUUGAACUUUGUCAUUUGGAAGGGUGCCAUGAGCAAGGAAUCUAUAAAUCAGGGUAAUCCAACUAUCUCCUUGUUGUAAGUUGCACACUUUUGCAGCCAUGGUGCUUGGUGCUGCCAACAAUUUGACCUGAAUUUUUCUCCCAAUCUUGUCUUCCACCGUUGAGGUGAGGUGAGCCAAAGCAUCCGCAUGACUGUUUGCCGCUCGAGGAAUUUGGGUGAUUUGGUAUUGGAAGUGCUUGAGCAACAAUUGUGUUUGUGCCAGAUAUGCUGCCGUGAAGCUAUCCUUAGCGUCAAAGUUGUUGGUGACCUGGUUAACCACCAAUUAGGAGUCACUGAAGAUAUCAAUUCGUUUAACCCCAAGGUGUUUGGCCAAACGUAAGCCUGCUAGGAGGGUUUCAUAUUCGGCCUCAUUGUUCAACGCCUUGAAUUUGAAACGAAUAGCAUACUCUAUCGCCACUUUGUCAGGGGACGUAAGGACUAGUCCUUCUCCACAACCCUGUUGGUUUGACGAGCCAUCAACAUAUAGACUCCAUGUUGAGGCUGUUGGUUCUAUUUUCUGAGCUUCCGAGGGUAAUGAAACCACUUCUUUAGGCAUAGAAAUAAUGUCAACAGGAUAUGUGAAGUCGGCGAUGAAGUCUGCCAUUACUUGGCCUUUCUUAGCUGGCUUUGGUUGGUAGGAGAUGUCAAACUCACCCAAUGUUAUUGCCCAUUUGAUCAUUCGCCCGUAAGUGUCAGGACUUUGGAGUAUUUGUCGAAGAGAAUGAUUGGUAAGCACGAUGAUGGAGUGUGCUUGGAAGUAAGGGCGAAGUUUUCGAGCAGACAUGACCAAUGCUAGAGCCAAUUUCUCAAUGUUGGAGUAUCGUGUCUCCGCAUCUUGUAAGGCCUUGCUAGCAUAGUAGACAGGUCGUUUGACAUUACCGUCCUUUCAAAUGAGAACAUAACUUACUGCUGAAGCCAAUACCGAUAGAUAGAUAAUGAGAGUGUCACCAACUUCAGGUUUGGAGAGCAAAUGGGCUUUACUCAUGUAGUCUUUAAGGUUCUUGAAUGCCUCAGCACAUUCAUCAAUCCAUGUAAUGUACUUCUUACUUCCCUUAAGUGCUUUAAAGAAAGGAGCAUAUAUGUCUGUGGCCUUAGAGAUGAACCUAGUUAAGGCUGCCACAUUGCCAGUAAGGCUCUGGAUGUCUUUUGAAGUUACCGAUUCCUUCAUGUCGAGGAUUGCUUUGAUCUUCUCGGGAUUAGCCUCAAUGCCUCGUUGGCUUAUCAUGAAGCCUAAGAAUUUUCCAGAGCCUACGCCGAAGGCACAUUUGUUGGGGUUCAACCUCAUUCGAUACCUCUUCAGAAUGGUGAAAGUUUCAGAUAGGUUGGUGAUGUGUUGGUCAGCAUGUUUGCUCUUGACUAGCAUAUCAUCAACGUAAACUUUCAUGCUCUUCCCAAUCUGUUCGGCGAUCAUUGAAUUGACCAGUCUCUGAUAAGUCACUCCUGCAUUCUUUAGGCCGAAGGGCAUGAUAAUAGUGAAGGCUGUGUGUUCUUGGUCUUGAGGGUUCAUGAGGAUUUGGUUGUAUCCUGAGUAAGCAUCCAUGAAGCUCAAGAGUUCACACCCUACCGUAGAGUCUAUAAGUCUGUCUAUGAGAGGAAGAGGAAAGCUAUCCUUUGGGCAUCCUUUGUUUAGGUCGAUGUAAUCGACACAUAUUCUCCACAAGACCCUUUGGAACAUGAGACUUUCCUUGGGCGAAUUCUUCUUAACAAGGAUAACAUUUGCUACCUACGUUGGAUAAUUGACUUCACGGACGAAGCCUAUGCCUUUGAGUUUUUCAACUUCUGCCUUCAUUGCCUUGUACCAUUCAACGUCAUAAGAUCUUCGCUUCUGUCUCACUGGCUUGGUCUUGGGGUCAAUACUUAAGCGAUGACAGAUGAUAUCGGGAAAGAUGCCUGGCAUGUCUUCGUAUGACCAGGCGAAAACCCCAGUGUUCUCUUCCAAAAAAGAGAUCAAUGCCAACCGAAUGGGUGGUGACAAGGUGGUGCCAAUCUUCACCAUGCGAUCCGGAUAAUCUUUUGAGAUAUAGACCUUCUCCAACUCUUCAGCAGGUUGUGCUUGCUGGGUGAAAGAGUCAUCUCGAGGAUCGUUGGGUUGACUAUUACCACCGUGAAGAUCCAAGUUGGCUUCGUCUGGGUUGGUCUUUAUGACUUGGUCAUGUAUAGAAAGGGUUUCCUUGGGCACAGGCAGGUGCUAUUGCUUGACCGAAGUGUUGUAACAUGAUCAUGCACUAAAUUGAUCUCCUCUGAUGUAACCAUUGCCAUAGGGGGGUUGGAAAUUUCAUCAACAACAUAUGUAUAGAUACCAUGGCCUUGAGAUUAUUGAUGCCUGUGCGUCCGAAGAUGACAUUGUAUGCCGUUGGGCAAUCAACCACCAGGAAGUUAGUGGUAAUGGUAGCUGUGUAAGGGUCUGUACCAAUGGCGAAAAGUAAAUGUAUGCUCCCCAAAGGUUGCACGAUAUCACCUGAAAAGCUUAUCAGAGGGGAAAUUGAGCAAUCGAGCAAGUGUUCAGCUACAUUAAGUGCCCUGAAAGCUUCAAUAAACAUGAUAUUAAUCGAAGCCCCCGUGUCUACCAGGAUUCGUCGUACUUCAAAGUUGGCUAUGUGAGCUUCCACGAUCAGUGGGUCGUUGUGAGGGUAGAUGAUACCUCUUUCUUCCUCAGGGUAGAAACAUAUUGGAUCCCAGUUAGGCUUUUGAUGCUUACCUCCCCUGAUAUCUUCCACGUGAAACACUUGGUGGCCAGACCUUAAAGCUCGUUCGCUAUUUUUCAUGGCCUUGUUAGAAUAUUUAGAUAUAGGUGUGCCACCACUUAUGGAAUAUAUCACAUUCACCUGGCGUUGGUUAUGGUUACCCCUUGGAGGGUGAAGGAGGAAUUGAUCAAUUUUUCCUUCACGUGCCAAAGCUUCAAUAUGAUCACGAAUAGUGAUACACUUCUCGCCGUUAUAGCCAUUAUGCUCGUGGUAGCAGCAAAACGUGCCCGUGUUCUUCGUGGGCUUGUAAUCCGGGUGCCUUGGCUUUGGCUUCAGUAUCAAGUGUGCUAUGCUGGGGUAAAUGACCACGCAUGUGGCGUUCAAAGGUGUGUAUGUCUCAUACCUUGAGGUAGGGGUUAUCCUGACACGUGCUUGACCUACUGUGUUGACUGCCUGAGGUCGAGGAUUAUCAUGGCGAUACCCUUGGUUAUCGCGGUAGUGUCCCUUACUCUUUUUACUAAAAUGAGACUAGUGAGGAUGAAAAUCUUUCCUUUUGCCCUGAGAUUGAUAUAUCUGUUGACUUGGCAAAGUAUAAAGUAAGGUAGGGGGAGGCAUCGCUGCCGUUUGGAAGGUCGAGGUCUUCUCAUUCAGUUGGAUCUGACUUCCACUCCCUACUUGUUGAUAAGGGGUGGCUGUGGGGGGUUUCCCUUGAUAUGUCUUUACCUCGGCGGAGGCAUGGUUGUAAGCUUAUGCCAUCACCUCAGAGUAAGUCUUCUAAGUGUUGACAUUGAUCAUGUACUUGAAGAAACAAUCACGUAGGUCUGCCGUGAAGACCUUGAGGGCGGUCUUGUCAUCUGCCUCAGCGCAGCGGGAAUACUCAUGGCUGAAACGACUAGCAUACCCUCGUAGUGACUCGUCUGGCUUCUGGCGAAUAUGUACAAGUCAUCUGCAGAAUGUAAGCAAUCGGUCUGGAAGAUGUGUUCAGAGACAAACAGUUUCCUCAGUUCCUCAAAUGAGUCUACUGUCUCAGGUGGAAGACGGCAAUACUAGUUUAAAGCUCUGCUAGAAAGGGUGGAGGGGAAGAGAAGAUAUCGCUAUUCGUCGGUGUGCAUCCGAUAUGCCGUGGUGGACUCAAAGAGGUUAAGGUGUUCAAUUAGGUCUUCCCUUCCAAUAUAGAGUUGUAAACCAAGCUUUUGUUUUGUUUUUGCUUGAAGGGGGGGUGUCGAGGAUCCUUCUUGUGAGAGGGCCAGGCCUAGGUUGGUUCCAGUAAGGUAUCUCAGCUUGACGUUCGGCCUUCAACUUGUUAAGGGGGUCCUGAGUGGAGUCAUGUACCAUUGGGAUUUUCUUUCGUAAGUCUCCAUCGCCUCUUAGAAGUAGGAAAGUUUGAGCAAGGGCGUGUGAUUUUUCCUUGGACUCGCCGUACUGACUUCUAGGGCGAGUCUGUCGGAAUACCUCAGAGUUUCCUGUACCUUCAUGUUCCUCUGGGACCUGUCGUUCUUUCCCUAGAUUGGCAGCUGGCCUGGAUCGUGGGAGGGGACUGACUCUUUCAGAAACCCUUGGGUUAUUGAUCUUUGAGCAUAUAUGGAGAGGAUUCUCUCAACGUUGCUUUAGAAAGUCUUGGCAGUCACGAUAAACGACUUUCGAUCCUUCCAACCCUUCUGCAAGAAGGUGUCUUCCUCCACUUCUCAUGUUUCGGGUCGAAGUAGCUGGGUUAAGAGAAGUCUCAUGUUGAUCAAUGUUUUGAUGAUUAGCUCGCUCCUCAUCAGAGAUACCCAUGUCGAAAGAAGGUGACCCUCCGUGUUGGGGGGCACCCAGAUGAUGGUUGAUAUCCACAGGGGCAACGAGCUCGCAUGUUUGAGUACGCCUAGUUUCGUGGAACGUCUCAAAGAGCUUCUCAUACUGCUCCUGGAGGACCUUAUUCUUCAUUGUUAUCUUGUUGUUCUGAGCUUCUAGCUCAUCGACUUUAGCUUGAAGAGCAACCCUUUUUCCUUCAUUCUUUCGUUGCUUCGCACUAAGUACAAGAGGGGUGUCAUUCUGUAUGCUGUGGCUUCCUUCGCACCCCAUGUUGGAGAGAGAUGCCUGGUCAAAAGAGAGUGUACGAAUUGUGGAAACCAGCUUGACAAAGCUGAAGAGAAUGGGAAUAAGUGUCGUUCCCACAGACGGCGCCAAAUGUUGAUACACAAAAUCAGUGAGGACUUUGGUACAACAGAAAGUGUUAAGUUUGUAACCUUCCCUAGAUUGCUUCAGUCACUAGUGUGGAUAAGUAUGUAAAUGGAUAGGGACAGGGAAGCAAACACAAGAUGUACGUGGUUCACCCAGAUUGGCUAUGUCCACAGAGUAGAUGAGUUCUCAUUAAUUGUGAAGGGUUUACACAAGUACAUAGGUUCAAGCUCUCCUUUAGUGAGUACUAGUGAAUGAUUUAGUACAAAUGACAUUAGAAAAUAUUGUGAGAGAAUGAUCUCUAUUUAUAGAAGAGAGUUUCUAGUUUCAUUUUGACAUUGACACGUGUCGUGUUGUGAUUGGCUUCUGAUGUUGACACGUGUCGCACAAUGAUUGGCUUCUAAUGUCGACACGUCUCGCGCUGUGAUUGGCCUCCUGGUUCUAAGGAAACUCUUCUGGGUCCUUGACGGUAUAACGUUGACCGGUGCUCAGUAGUUUCGGGAUUGGUCAAGUAUGGUACAAACAAGUUUCAAUUAGGGCUUAACAGCUGAUCACAUUGAUCAGAGAAUUAGUCUUGUUUUAUCAGAUCUUAUUAAAAUUUGAGGGAAGAUUAACAACUGACGCCGGCUUACUCUCAAGGCUAAUGCUCAGGUGAAUAUUCAUCUUUGGUUUAAAUUGUUCCUUCUUUUCUUCUUGUGUAGAAAACAUGUGGAAGUAGCGAUGUAACCCAUUUAUUUUGACUUUUAUUUAUAGUUUGCAAAUGAGCCGCACAUGUCUAAUGGCAUGGUCAAUUUGGACUACAAGGUCAUCUUUCAACUUACAUGUUUCAGUCCUUCAGGAACAUUUUAGUGUACUAGAUUGCCUUCAGCUUCGUUAAACUCUCCAAGUUUAGUUUUAGAAGUAGAUGGUGGUUCUCAUCUCAUGUGUCAUAUGGAUAUGGUGCUCCUAUGAUUACACAGGGUUCAAAUUCACCAAUCUCUCCAAAAUAACGACCUAAUGUGAAGCAAUAAGAAAGACUUGUUCAUAUUGGUGCAUAAAUUAGAUGGCAUGCAAGGUCACCUACUAAAAGAAAGUGAAUACAACAAACUGUCACGCAAUAAGAAAGGCUUGGUGCAGAAGUUAGACUCUGAUGUUUUGAAGAGGUGGACGAGUGUUUCAAACUUGGUUGUUCAUUGACUCGCGUACUCAGUGAGAUGUGAAAUGUUGUGUUGAUUUUUUAUUUACGUUGCUGGUAACUUAGUCAAAGUGUAAUCGGAUUACGUUGCGGAUUGUGAUUGAAAAGUAGUGGAGAGAUUUUGUCGAGUUUGGGUUAGCAACUUAAUGAGAAGUUACAUAAAUAUUUCAUUUUCAUUUUUGUUGCUUCCCAUUCCAUACUCAAAGGCAUUUCAAGCACCCAUUUACCAAUAAGAAAAUCACUUUAGCCCAUUGGUACUUUAAGUUGGGGAGUUUUCUAACCGCAUUUUCCCUCUCGUGAUCGAAACAAUAUAUGAUGGAGUGUUUAUGGUUAAGAAUGUCAGUUCUGUUGUAGAAGGAAAAAGAAAAUGAAAGACUCAGAUAUCUUUUCUAUGUUAAAAUUGAUUUUGCUAAAACUAUACAAAUUUGCUUUACUAAAAAUUAUAUAAAAUUGACUCUACAUAUAUUUAAAGCUAAUUAUGCAAAAAUGAUCGAGAUUAGGUUGGGCUAAUGACGUGUAUGUAAUUUUGUUAAUGUUGUACAUAUUUGAAACUGAUUCUGCAACGAUGGUUGAAGACGAGUUGAACUGAUUCUGCAAAAAUGGUCAAGGACGGGUUGAACGAGGACGGGCUGAACUAAUUCUAGAAAAAUGGUCGAGAACGGGUUGAACUGAUUCCACAAAAAUUAUCAAAAACUGGUUGAACUGAUUUUGCAAAAAUGGUGGGAUGGAUUGAUUCUGCAAAAAUGGUCGAAGAUGAGUUGUACUGAUACUGCAAAAUGGUCAAAGACUGGUUGAACUAAUUCUGCAAAAUGGUCAAAAAGGGGUUGAACUGAUUCUGCCAAAAUAAUUGAAGACGAGUUGAACUGAUUGAUUCUGCAAAAUUGGUUAAAGACAGGUUGAACUGAUUAUGCAAAAAUGGUUAAGAAUAGGUUGAACUGAUUCUGCAAAAAUGGUUGAAGACAGAUAAAUUGAUUAUGUAAGAAUGGUCUAAGAUGGGUUGAACUGAUUCUGUAAAAAUUAUCGAGAACGGGUUGAAUUGAUUCUGCAAAAAUGGUCGAGGGCUGUUUGAAUGGUUUUGCAAAAAUGUUUGAAGAUGAGUUGAACUGAUUCUGCAUAAAUGGUCGAUGACGGGUUGAACUGAUUCUAGUAAUAAAGGAUACAAACUAGGGGUGGGCAAACGGGUCCAGGACUCGCGGGUAGGGGCGGAUCCUUGCGGUUCGGGCGGGUCCAAAAAUUAUAAAUACGAAACAGGGCAGGGCGGGCCGGUUCUUGGUAAAUAACGGGGCGGGCCGGUUCUUGGUAAAUAACGGGGCGGGCCGGUUUUAAAAAUUUGAGAAAACGGGCCCCCGACCCGGACCGUUCUCUACCCCCUCUAAUAUCUAUCCUUUUUUUGUCAAAUAUACAUCUCAGACCUCCACCCAAUUGGGCCAAUUCACUCUACUCUUCAUCCCUCCCCUCACAUCACCUUCUCUUUCUAUCCUGACUUCGACUCCGACUCUCCUCCCUCUAUCUCUCCUCGCAUCUUUUUUCUUUUCUCGUAUCAGACCUCUCUUAAGCCCAGGCUCCCAUCUUAAACCUCAAUCUCGACCACUCCUUCUUCUGACAUGCUGCAGAUGCACUUCUAUGAGACUUGUGACGGUCAACACAGUCUUCGAGUUGCACAAGCUGCUGGCCCGACUCGACCUUGUUUGACUCGUUGGAGGGGUCGGCGAACAGGUAGGAUAAGGUGAUGUUGGAGGUUUAUUUGGGGAAGCAAAUCUACAAUCUUGGUGGCGUGCGAAGGGUUGGACCAGGUGGAGAGGUACGAUCACUAUCGUGGCAUCCUCUCCUAACUCUCCAUUGUGGCAUCCCUAGGUAAUUUAUAAAUUAGGGUUUUUGAUUUAGGAAAUUAGGGUUUCCGAUUUAGGAAAUUAGGGUUUUUUAUUUAGGAAUUGAGGGUUUUUUAUUUAUGUGGGUUUUUUAUUUAGGAAUUUUGUGGGUUUCUGAUUUUGUUUUGAUUCAUCAACUGAUGUAAUUUGUAAUUGCGAGGGUGGAGGUCUUGGAUCCAUGGAAAGAUGAUGUCUCUGGUUCGAUUUGCCGAUUUGAACAAUUUGAUUAUUUAUGAGAUUGAUUUGAUGUAGUUUUGUGCGUAAGAGUAAUGGGUUCUGUUUGAAACUAUGGAUCUGGGAUUUCAUGGUUUGCUUAUUUCGGGACAUGCAUGGAAGUUAACAUGUGCGGAGUAUACAUAAAUGUUUGUAGGAUUUGUUUUUCUGUGUUCUGAGUAGUGCAAAUGAGGGUCUAAAAUUGUUGGUUUUGCUUCUGCUUCUGCUUCUGCUCAGUAUAUCGGGGCAGUUCCAAAACCGAAUUUAAAAAAAAAAAAAAAAGUAAUUGGACCCGUGGACCUGUCCCGAACUGGACCGGCCCAUGCCCAACCCUAAUACAAACUGAUUCUGCAUAAAAUUUAUAAACUGAUUCUGCAUAAAUAGUUGAGGAUAAGCUUAUGGCACAUAUUAAUUUUGUUGGAUUUGUGAGGGCUGGAUUCUCUUAACAACACUAAAGCAUAGGGGUAUAGCUGGUAUUUUAAAACAUUGUUUUCAUGUUUUUGGGCUGGGCUUUAGUUGGUUUUAUGUUUAUGUCUCUCAUUGACAUGUUUAAAAACUAGUGGAGUUUCUUGAAAUAUAGUGAAAGUUUUUGUUUCUAUAUAUAAAGUUAUCUUGAUAUUACUUAUUUGUGUUAUAACAUGCAUAUUUAUUUAUUUCUAUUAUUUUAUUAGACUCUGAUGUAAUAAAUUAAUAAUAUUAUUCUUAUCAUUUAAAUUUAUGACAAUUUUAUAUCCCCUGAUGUGACAGGUGAGGUGGACAACCAAGUUAAUUAUAAAGAAUUGUGUGGCAGUUGAGGUAGAUAAUCACAUAAAUAAAAAAAUCUCAAAUUUUCAUUAAUAAAAAGUUUAAGAAAUAAUUCAAACCCUAAAUUUUAGGUGCCCUUAGUUUAUCUUCCUCCCUCACCUCUUUCUGUCAUCAACUUGCUUCUCAAGACCAGUUUUGUUUUUUUCUCCCAAAUGUCGUCAAUCUACAUGUCCAUAGAAUUAUAUCUUCUAACUCAUGAUUAAUUUGUUCAUGUUAUACCAUUCGUUGAUGUUGAUGAAUUAUCCACAUCCUUUGUUGAUAACUAAUUGGGUUAUAACUUGAAAAAAUUGACAAUCUUAUGGGAAGCACUCAUUAGUGACGGUUAAUUGAUGCGAUGCUUGACAGUUGGAAAACUUCUAACUGUAUAAUCUCUGAAAUAGUCACCAUCAGUUCAUUUGCUAGAGAAGGAUGGGUUGGAGCUGUGAUAGUCAGGAGGUUGAAGAAGCGAUGUGAAUGUGGACAGAGGAGAGGGAGGAGGAGGCUAGAGGGAGGGAGGCAUGAAAACGUACAAAACUAGGGUUUGAAAUUUGAGAUUUUGAUGUGAUUAACCUUAUUUUUCACAAUAUUUUUUACAAUUGGUAUGGCUUACGCACCUCAAUUGCCACAUAAGAUGGUAUAAAGUGUGGUACAUUUAGAUAGAAAUAAUAGCAUUACUCAUAUUAAAUAUGACGUAACAUGUGAAUUUAUGGCACCUCAUGUUGAUUUGUCUAUCACACUAAAAAAAUUUCUCUUCCCUUUCCACCCUUCCUUUUGUGUUACGUGGAGUAUCACAUGGCCGAUCAUUGAUUGGCCAAUCUCUUACCUCAUCAUUUUAUAUUAGAUAGAUGAUACAUAUGAUUGUUGAUUGAAAUGGUACGCUAGACCCUAUACCUGACUCAAUACAACAACAUUAAUCUUAUAAAAGGAGUCGCCACUUAAUACUACGGUCUAGUGGUAUUCCUGCUCACUUAUAAGUGAUAGGAAAAAAAAUUAUAAAAGGAGUCUAGAGUUUGCCAAGGAGAGGAUACAUUUUUGUAUGGCUCAGUCUCGAUUCUUUUUAUGCCUUAAAGACAUAAAAGUUUAUAAUUUAUUUGGUGAAUGCCAAAUACGACAAGUGAGAUAAUCUUUAGUGAAUGACUCAAUUAAAAUCUAGAAGCCUAAGUCUAAAAACUAAUCUUAACCUAAAUGAUUAAGUUGCAGUAAAAUCAAAGAGGCCGGUAUCACUUGACUUUACCUCGGACUAGAAUAGCAACUUGGUUAAGAAAAAACACUUCAUGUAGGGAUUUACAAGGUCUUAAACUAACAUUUUCGCAACCGAAAUGCUCCGAGGUUUGAAUUCGAAAAUGGACUGCCGUACCUAGGUCCAAUUUGAAGAAAGUUAGGGUUUCAUUAUAAAAUUAAUUGGCAAUAUAAGGAGUGGUCUAACUACUUGUAAGCACAUACAAGGGAGGUCCCUUCUCCCAUCAAUGUCUAGAUCCCCUCACCAAUAGGGUUUAUAUCUCCAGGUAUGUCUACUUUGAUGAAUCAUUUGUUUUAUACCAUAAAACCAAUUGACAAUAUAAGGAGAAGUCCAACUACUUAUAUGUUAUAAGCACAUUUGUGGUCCCUUAUACCAUUAAUGUGGGACUGCAUUCUCAGCACGCCCCCUUACAUGUGACGAAUUUUCAAGCCUAGUAUGUGGACAACACAAAUGGGGGUGACUUGGAGUGCAUGGGGCUAUGGGGCAUCACUUGUGUAGCAACCUGCUCUAAUACCAUAAAGAAAGUUGGAGUUCUAGCAUAAACCAAUUGGCACUAUGAAGAGGAGCUAGCCCAACUACUUAUAAGCACAUGAAGGUUCAUUUUCCUAUCAAUGUGAGAUUUAUAACACAAUUCUUAUUCAGGCUCAAGCAACGAGGACAGGCGAAUACAUGAGCUUAGAUGCAAGGGAUGAACAACACUUCAUUAGAGCAACAAGCCCAGCUAGUAGGUUGUCACCAUCUUUUGGUAUACGAAUCUUUUUCUCAUUGACAGUCCAACGAUGCAGUUAUUUGCUCGUUAUGUCUGUUGAAAGGGAAUGUUGUGAUUGUGGUGUCUCAGUUAGUCACAGUCUCAACUCAAAAGAUCAACCCACUUCCCUUAACUUCACUUCCUAAACAUCCCAACAAAUUAAUGCAACAAAAGAAAGCACUCCCCACCAACUUGAAUUUUCCAAUCUUUCUAAUUAUCUCCUAACUAAAGUAGUUCAGUGAUAUUUUGAUGGUGUCCCCAAGUUGCUAACACACACACCUGCCUCAUCUCUAAGUAUGUACGACUCUCAUUGAGAUAUUGUUCAUAGGGCCAAUCUGAUUUGGAUCUAUGUCAGCUGGAUAAUAGUAGAUCAUUUUCUCAUAGGUCCACAUGGAUUUAAGUAUAAUAAAAAAUCUUAUCGCUUGAUGCUUUCUACUUAUAAGAUAAGGUUUGAGAACAUUUCCAUUGCUAAUCGUAUACAUGGCAAUGAGACAUGAUUAGACGCGUGAAGUGGGAAAUGUGACUGUGAUGUUCUUGGGGGACUUGGCAAUGAGAACACAAUGUUACAGUAUCUUUGGAGGGAAGGAGUUAUCUACACUAUGAAAUGUCAUCGUAGCGUUGAAAUCAAUAAUACAAUUAUUAUGUAUUAUAACUUUUCUCACAAGACAUUAUAUUAUUGGUUUGGGACACUACAAUGGUGUUUCUCCAUUUGGAGAAGUCAACUUAGUCAACUGGAGUCACAAAAAUUUCAUUAUUUAAAAAAAAUAUUCAGUUGUCACAUGAUAUUAAUAAUUAAUGAACGUGUUAUAGUAUGAGUUAUACCAUCAAAGUUGAUAUUUUCAUAUGAGUGGGAUAACAAACGUGCACACCAAAAACUUUCUAAAGCAAAAUCACAACACAUAUGGGGGCACCUAACUGCAACAGGAAUCUCAACUGUUCUACUUAGAACUAGUUUGAACAAGAGGGACAAUCAUUAAUGGGAGGCAAAAUUUAUCCGAUGAGGACUUUUAAGGUGAGAGAGAUACACGCUGCUAGUGCACGUGGCAUGGAGGUGAUGUGAAGGUACAAGUGGACCCUGCGACUUAACAUUUGGAAGGCUUGAAGCUAGUUUAUAAGGAGUGGAUGUUAAAAUAUUCCAAGACAAGUACUUGAGAUCUUCAGCCACUAAAUUAGGGUUUAGAAUUGGAGGAGUCAUAAUUUGUUCGUGAAAGUAGCAAAGCUAUAAAUAUUGGUCAUGGGAAGCAUGGGCAGGAGACUUGCCAAGUGGAAAAGAAUGGUGAGGCAACAAAAAGGGAAGCUCUAUAUUACUAGGGUUUGCAUUUCUAUGCUUCUUGGUUGGCACAAGUACGCUUGAUCGUUCGGGCCAUGCAUUGCAUGCAGUCCCAUAAUAUGUAUGCGUAAAAUUAGUACGUUCUAUAUCGAUAGGUGUUGAUAUGUGGAGAAGCAUGUAUGUUAGAUUGUGAGAAAUUCUCAAGAGUAAUCAGAGAUGUAUUUCACUAUUUUUAUAUCUCUUAUCACGUGACAUGAUCAUUCAAUGAGAGUACAGAAAAAGAAAAUGUGGGAUAUGUUUUCGAUUGCAUGUUGAAUUUCUAAAUUAAGAAGAGGUUUUACUGUAUCAUUAACGCACUCUAUUAAUGUUUUCUCCUAGUUAAGAAUGAGAUGUUUAUAGUGAUCAACUCAAUUUAUCGAGAAUAAUAUUUUUAUGUAAGUGCAAAUUUUAAGUUGUAAAUAUUGGUUUGAGUAUGUUUUUUUUUUUUUUUUUUUUUUUUUUUUUUUGUGUUUCCUAUAAUAUAGCACAAGAGGGGAACAUGAUCUAACAAGGUGGAUUUUGUGGUGUUGAUCAGCAACUAUAUAAAAUUACGAAGUACGAUAAAUCCAAGCGUGAAGUAUUUAUAUAUGUACCUACUCAAGCAUGCAGUCUUAUAUACUCUUCAUAUAUAUAUACAUGUAUAAAUCGUGUACAGAACUUGGAAAUAAGUUUUAAGGAAUACAUCCAAAGGCUCCCUGAAAUUCUGGAAGAGAAAUAGUUUAAUUUGUUAAGCCAUCUAUAUCCUUAACAUACAUAGAUAAUAUAUAUAUAUAUAUAUAUAUAGCUAGACACACACACAUGUACUAUGGUUAGUUCAUUCAAUGGACAAAUUGCAGCCUAUAAUAAUGGCGGACAGAGGUGGCCUUGAGAUUAGUAUGGAAAACUCCAAUCCUUGUCAAGUUUUUCAGGUGAUUGAACAGGGAGACAAAGCUCAUGUGUCUGCUUUAUCAUCUUUGUUCUCAAUGGGACCCCCACUACUUGUAAACCCAUUCAACGGCCGACACUUGUCACCCUACCAUGUACUGCCGCGUCUGAUCCUUCCUAUGUGCCUCUCUAUAAUGCAAGGCUAGCUAGCUCAAGUUCUUCCAUGACCAAUAUUACAACCUUGAAAUUUUUCAUACCAACGUACAAGUAUUCCUCUCUCUCUCUCUCUCUCUCUCUCUCUCUGAAAUAGUCUCAACAGUUGCCGUCUAACAUGAAGGGAGAGUUGUCUUCCGUUCGAACGCCCAAGCUCCGGUCGUGGGAGAAAUGCUCGAGGUUGAUGAGGGAGCAGCGGACACGAUUAUAUAUCAUGUGGAGGUGUACUGUCAUACUUCUUUGUUGGGAUGAGUGACGGAGAGGUGACUGUUUUUACCAUGCAAGGGUUGAAGUUGUGUUCUUGUGAUUUUGAAUUUCCUAUUGAAAUUGGAUCCAAAUAGUUUACAAGAAUGUAAAGCUACUUGUGUCUGGGAAGAGUUUAAAUACUAAUACCAUGUAAUUAAACGAAUGUUACAUGUAAAAUUCAAUGAUAGUACUACAUGUAAUGUACUAUGUUUACUGAGCUCAUUUAGACUCCACAUAUUUAAUAGAGGUGACAUUUUCUUUAUCCGCAAAUAUCACCCUCCAUAAUAGGUUAAUUGUUGUGAAUUCUGCACUGAUGCAUUCUUUUGAACCAUACUUUAGCCUACCUUUUAAUUUGGAGAUCAAAUGUAGGAUGUCGUCUCAUAUGGUAUUAGAGUUGCAUGAGAGAUUAGUCUGUUAUCAAUAUGUGUUGAUAUAUUAAAAAAAGAAAUAAAGAAAUAAAAGAAUAGCUUAAUUGCUGUGCCAGAAAAGCUUAUUAUUACAAAUUUGAUGCCAAUAAAGCUUGUUUAGUAUCGUGGCCAUUUGCUGCAGAGCAUGCAAGUUGUAAAUUUGUAAAAUCAUGGUGGGAGCGAGAAUUUAUCACUACGCCCGAGAUGUCUUGUUUGAUUCCGUUUUCCCUCAAUAUCGCUUGUAUCCAAUAAAAAUAUUGAAGGAAUCCUCAGCGAGCUAGCAUGUAUCACGCAUGUCCUUUCUUGGUCUUGAAGUAAUAUCUUCGCUUAAACCUGAACUAGGAACACAACGGAAAUUGAAAGUCGAGAAUUCAAGGAACAAACUGUCUUCAUUUAUUUACUUCUUAUUGUACAGAUCUGAAUAUUUCUGUAAACUUGCAUAGCAGAAAGAAUCGUGCAUGGAAACCUUGCACUUGUUAUUGAACUACUUUCUCCAUAUACCGUCGUUUACAAAACAAAAAGUAGAGCCAGCCAAAGAGGCAGCUCGACCUAUCGAUUUAAUAUGAACCAAAAACGAGUGGAAAUAAUUAGUAAGGUACCAAACUUCCAAUGAUAUCCUCCUAUGCAAUCUAAUGUAGAACUCCACCUCUCGAAACCUACCUGCCACCCGGAGAACAAAAAUUGAAAACAAAAACAAACAACUUUCAUAGAUGCAAGUCAAAGCCAGUUCCCUGAGGAGCAACCGGAUCAGGAAAUGACGAAUGAGCAAGAUGAAUCUUCUCAUAUUUCAAAGACGGGGUUCGCCAGAAGUCCGUUGCAAUGUUGCCGAGGGCCAAUCAUCAGCAGAUUUCUUGAGGGUUAGUCCUUGCUUACUUUUUGGCCUGCCUAGGGCAUCAUCACAAUAAGAACAAGAAAACAUUAGUCAGCUUCGACCACUGGACAAAAAUUGAACAUUAAAAAAAGAGUGAAUGUUGAGAGGCAAAUCAACUGCCCAGACCCCUUCGAAAAUAACAGAUUGAAAAGGGGGAAUACAUUUUGUCCAGUGGCAGGUCCCUUGUUCACAUUUAACCUCCGAGUUGAUGGAGCCCGUGCCACUGAUGAAGCAGCUGCAGCUGCAGCGACACGUAUUCUGCAAGGAUGAAGAAGAUUAAUCCACUUUCAAAUUAUAACUUUCGUACAUAAUGUCAACCAACUAUUUUCUUUUGUCACUCUAUGAUACCUUUUAUGUACAUCAACAUAUUCAUCUGUUUCAUCCACAAUCUCCUCCUGCAUUUUUCAAGACAAUCAUCACUACAACCAAAUAAACAAUUUUCAUUAACUGAAAGCACGAGAAUAUCAGUUGCGUGUACAUUACCUGCAGGAGUUCUUCAAAUACAUCUUCCAGAGUGAUAAUCCCAAUGACUUCACCCUCCUCGAUAUCCUCUUAUACAGUGGCGGAUCCAGGAUUUUAACUUAGGGUGGUCCCAAUAUAAAAGCUUCAAAAAAAAAAAAAAAAAAAAAGAAGAAAAUAUCAUUGAACAAAUAAAUGGCAAACUACAAUUUUCAUUCAUAAUCUUUGUGCUAAACAAGCUAGAAAUACUAAAUUUGUCCACGACGGGAUCACAUACUUUGAAAACGUGUUAUGAUAGUUUCAUUGUCAAUACAAAAAAAAAACAUUUUUAGCUCUAAAAGGCUCCAUUAAUAUAUAUGCUAUUCGGACCUCAUCUCGAAUAUUUGGAGGAUAAUCCUUCAUUGGAAUUCUCUUUCCGGGGUCUCUCUCAAGAUUAUCCUAAUCAAUUUUUAACUCAUUUUGUUGUGGAGUGUAAUUACCCCCAAUUGGAUCGGACCUAUUUGGAAUUGGAGGGGAACUAUUCGGAAUAGGAUUGGAACUAUCCAAGUUUGGAGAUGAACUAUUUGGAAUAUGAUUGUCCGAACUAUUCGAUGAUGAUUUCGCUUGUAAUAUCGUUCCAUACUUUUAAUUUCUACACAUAUCAAUUAAUAAAAAAAUCUAUGUCAAUUGAUGAAACUAAAAAUAUGUAUGAACUAAAAACCCUAACUGUAACACAAUCUUCAACAAAAGAAACCCUAUAACACAAUCCAAGUAAUAUCAGAAAAUCCUAACGAAUCAACAAUAAAUAUGUAUGAACUAACACUAAAAUAGAUAUGAAAAAAAUCAUUUGCAAGAUUCACUGUUCGGCCCCUUUGUUUUUAAUUAGUGUUCUUUAAAAAAAAAUUACCUAAAAGUCUAAAACUAAAAAUCCUAACAAAUUAACAAUAAAUAUGUAUCAACUAACACUAAAAAUAAGUAAGAACUAACACUAAAUUAGAAAUCUUACAGAAAUGUGGGUUUGGUGGUAAACACACGUACAUUCGAGACGGAAGUUGAACAGGGAGCAGAGAGCAGAAAUUGCUAUGGAGAGCAUGAAUGUUCAUUCUGUUUAAAGGUCUGAGUCUGAAUAAAAUCAUCCACAAAAUCACGAUCUGAAUACCAAUAUAUUGAAAACAAAGCAAAUCACAAAGUUGGGGUUACUUGGGUAGUGUGAGGAUUCCUCCUGUUUGAAAACUUACAGACAAUUUGCUAUUAUUGGUGAAGUAAAGUUGAUUGAAAGCACUAUUCUAUAAAAGAUGGUGAGUCUGACUUUUCUAUAAACAAUAAAAGAUGGUGACUGGCGAGUGCUCUAUCACGUGAAGGUGAGGAGUUUUUAAACUUUUUUAAUAACUUGGCUCAAAACGACGUCGUUUUGGCCAAGUUAUUUUUUAAAAAAAAAUUGACUUUCUUCUUCCUCCUUCCGUUUUGCACAGCUUGCAGCAGCCAUGGCUGCUGUUCUUCUGCCCAGAUUUGGAUGGUCCUUGAAGAUCCUCACAGCCGUUUGUCCUAGCUUCCGAGUGGUCCUAGGACCACCCUAGUCCCUUAAUGGAUCCGCCCCUGCUCUUAUACCUGGAGCAAACCAUUUGUUGCUUUAUCACUAUGAGGUGAAAAAGUUUCCUUGUGUCUAUGAGGGGGCCUUGGUAUCCUGGGUAUAUCAACAACAACACUGUUCGGCUUUCCAUCCUACCUGGAUAGCAAAUGAGUAGUCGGUUGGGAGUCUGUGCCAGUGUCUCCGUUCCAUUCGAGAGAUUUUUCAAUGUAACCAAUACACGAGGUGGUACACCACGUGUCAUUAUACAAAUGGUGGGAUAUGUGUGCUAAAAAGUUAAUAACUUAAAAAAUAAAAUUUCUCACCAUUUCUAUUAAAACACAUGGUGUACCACUUGUGUUUCCGUUACAAUUAAAAAUUUCUCGUUCCGUUCAUCUCUCCUUCAAUCAAUGGUUGGUCGAGGAAUUUUUGUUAAGAUAUGGGUAGGAAAAUAAGACAUAGAAGUGGGGAUAUUAGCACUCUUAACUUUUUUAUUUUUUUUUAGAAUGUAAGUUACAAAAUUACC
rnacentral:lncRNA from 1 species